UUCCAAUCCACCAUGGUCCUCGUAACAGU
rnacentral:piRNA from 1 species